AUCAGCUUGUCAAAAAAGACUGCCUCUUUUGUGAAACCAUUCUUCUUUUCCUGGCAUGCACCCAUCAGAUAAGCAACCCGGGCUGUCGAGAGGAAGAUGUUAACUGACCCCCAAGGCAGGACCAGGUGCUGAAGUCCUGCUCUUUCAAAGAUGAUGAACCAGAGAAUACUGUGUCACUGCUUGUUCCAUUCCUGUGCUGAUACUGGCAAGUGGGAAAGCUGGGAUUCAAAUCCAAGUCUGUGUCUCCAAAAGUCCAUGUUGAAGCUGUUCUUGUUGCUGAAUUUAAUGAACCUCUAACACAUGAUCCAAUGGAGAAAGUGAUCCAAUGGAAAGGAUCCAAUGGAGAAAGUGUCACUGAGCUGGGCCGCAGAGCUGGUUAUCAAGGGUAGUCUACGAAGUCAGAG